GGAUGACAGGACCGUAUCCGACAGGCCGAAGCUUUUAUGUAGUGCAUGCAUAUGGGUGUUUGCGCUAGACUGUGUAUCUGUGUUUUCAGCCAGAGCGAGUCCAUUGGAUGGGACUGAGGGGUACAAAAGGCCAGGGGCACACAGGAUCUUCCUCAGUAUCACAGGCUUCCACUGUGUUUUCAGGGCGUUCUGGUGUUUCGGAUGGUGUCUGGGAUUGGAGAAUUACCAUGAUUUCUUUGGAUGCGGUUCUGUCCUGGAUAACUGCGCUCUCUCCCUAGGUUGUCAAAUCUACACAGUGAGGUGAUAUCUUGGUUAUCUCCAACAUUUUAGAUUUUCGGCAGUUGGACUAUUCUGAGAAUUGCCAACUGCCAUGAUCAUCAGACUGGGACGUCUGACACCUGGAUACUUCCGUCUCCUCCAGAGACAGGUCUCGGGUGAAGUCCAGCUGCAGCCACAGAACGGAUACACCAACCAAAUCGCCAUGACGUUGGCCUCGGUUGGCAUCAGCCUGUCCUUCUACAGCGCCAGGCAGAUGGCUGAGCAGGUCCAUGUGAAAGUGACUUCUACCUGAACUGGGCCAGAGAGAGGAUGGGGAGAAGGAGAGGAGGGGGAGAAGGAGAGGAGGGGGAGAAGGAGGAGACCAGAGAACCCUGCGGUGCUGCACUCCACUGUAGUGCGUUGCGAUAGUUAGCCACGGUUCUGUGUUUUCGUCGUUUGAGAGAUUGUUUGUGGUAGGUGGGAGAGGAUCGGUGUCGGGAGUGGUUUUGUCUUAAGAGAGAGACCGUGCAUGUCUGAGCACCUGACGAGCACAGUCUAUUUAGCUAACAUUAACAACUCCUUGCCACCCCUUGUCAGUGGCAUGUGACAGGAGUGGCAAAGAGUGAAGUCGAGUAGCGGAACAGAGACUGAAACCAGGCUUAGAUCUUUCAUAUCAAUCAGAAACGAAUGGGCCUGCAGGAAGUUUGUCUUCUUAGUGUCCUCGAGAGGAAAUGUAAGUGUUAUUGUGGUAAAUUGGAAUUGGGAAAAUGUUAGAAAAGUAGAUUAAACAGUGUUAAGGCGUAACUGUGUUUGUUUACUCAAAUCUGACUGACCUGUGUCAAGAGUUGAGGCUAUACCCUACGCAAAUCUGCAUUAUCUAAAAUAAUUCACUGAAGGUAAAUGAUCUUAGGCUUCCUAGAAUGUAUUUUUUAUGUAGCGUUAACGUGUAUCACAGACCCGCUGUAUGGAAUCCCAGCUGUUAUAAUUUGCUUUAGCGCUUUAUCUUCUGAUCAUACUCUAGCUCUGUGGUUCUAAUAGGAAUUGUGGUAUCUGUAUCUACUUUUCAUUAACAAGUUUACAAUUUUAAAUACCAAAUAAAACUCACUUCAACUCA